rnacentral:rRNA from 1 species
GGUAACGCUAUUCCCUAAGAUUCACCCAUGCAUGUUUCUGACAUUUGAAAAAUGGACUGCUCAGUAAUACUCACUUUAUUUUAUGUAAAUUUUUAAUUAACUACGUUAAAGUGUAGAUAAGAUGUUUACAGUAAGAGUGAGACCUAUCAGCUAGUUGUUAAGGUAAUGGCUUAACAAGGCUGUGACGGGUAACGGUAUUACUUUGUAAUAUUCCGGAGAAGGAGCCUGAGAGACGGCUACUAAGUCUAAGGAUUGCAGCAGGGGCGAAACUUGACCUAUGGAUUUUAUCUGAGGCAGUUAUGGGAAGUAAUAUUAUAUUGUUUCAUAUUUAAAAGUAUAUGAGGUGAUUAAUUGGAGGGCAAAUCAAGUGCCAGCAGC